rnacentral:rRNA from 1 species
AUUGAACGCUGGCGGCAUGCUUUACACAUGCAAGUCGAACGGUAACAGGGUGCUUGCACCGCUGACGAGUGGCGAACGGGUGAGUAAUGCGCCGGAACGUGCCGAGUAGUGGGGGAUAACGCAGCGAAAGCUGUGCUAAUACCGCAUACGUACUGAGGUAGAAAGUGGGGGACCUUCGGGCCUCACGCUAUUCGAGCGGCCGACGUCUGAUUAGCUAGUAGGUGAGGUAAAGGCUCACCUAGGCGACGAUCAGUAGCGGGUCUGAGAGGAUGAUCCGCCAAACUGGGACUGAGACACGGCCCAGACUCCUACGGGAGGCAGCAGUGGGGAAUUUUGGACAAUGGGCGAAAGCCUGAUCCAGCCAUGCCGCGUGUCUGAAGAAGGCCUUCGGGUUGUAAAGGACUUUUGUCAGGGAGGAAAUCCCUAGUGCUAAUAACACUGGGGGAUGACAGUACCUGAAGAAUAAGCACCGGCUAACUACGUGCCAGCAGCCGCCGUAA